rnacentral:rRNA from 1 species
CAGCACCUCAAGUGGUCAGGAUGAUUAUUGGGCCUAAAGCAUCCGUAGCCGGCGCUGUAAGUUUUCGGUUAAAUCCAUACGCUCAACGUAUGGGCUGCCGGGAAUACUGCAAAGCUAGGGAGUGGGAGAGGUAGACGGUACUCGGUAGGAAGGGGUAAAAUCCUUUGAUCUAUUGAUGACCACCUGUGGCGAAGGCGGUCUACCAGAACACGUCCGACGGUGAGGGAUGAAAGCUGGGGGAGCAAACCGGAUUAGAGACCCGAGUAGUCC